UACAGAGGGUGCGAGCGUUGUCCGGAAUCACUGGGCGUAAAGGGCGCGUAGGUGGCGCGACAAGUCAGUGGUGAAAGUUCGACGCUUAACGUCGAAUCGGCCACUGAUACUGUUGGGCUUGAGCACUGUAGAGGCUAAUGGAAUUCCGGGUGUAGCGGUGGAAUGCGUAGAGAUCCGGAAGAACACCGGUGGCGAAGGCGGCCAUCUGGACCGCAACUGACGCUGAGGCGCGAAAGCGUGGGGAGCAAACAGG
rnacentral:rRNA from 1 species